rnacentral:rRNA from 1 species
UGGGGAAUUUUGGACAAUGGGCGCAAGCCUGAUCCAGCCAUGCCGCGUGCGGGAAGAAGGCCUUCGGGUUGUAAACCGCUUUUGUCAGGGAAGAAAUCUUCUGAGUUAAUACCUCGGGAGGAUGACGGUACCUGAAGAAUAAGCACCGGCUAACUACGUGCCAGCAGCCGCGGUAAUACGUAGGGUGCAAGCGUUAAUCGGAAUACUGGGCGNAAAGCGUGCGCAGGCGGUUUUGUAAGACAGAGGUGAAAUCCCCGGGCUCAACCUGGGAACUGCCUUUGUGACUGCAAGGCUUGAGUGCGGCAGAGGGGGAUGGAAUUCCGCGUNUAGCGCGAAAUGCGUAGAUAUGCGGAGGAACACCGAUGGCGAAGGCAAUCCCCUGGGCCUGCACUGACGCUCAUGCACGAAAGCGUGGGGAGCAAACAGGAUUAGAUA